CCCUUAGAUGUUCUGGGCCGCACGCGCGCUACACUGAUGCAUUCAACGAGUCUAAAACCUGGUCUGAUAGGGCUGGGUAAUCUUUUGAAAGUGCAUCGUGAUUGGGAUAGAUGAUUGCAAUUCUUCAUCUUCAACGAGGAAUGCCUAGUAAACGCAAGUCAUCAGCUUGCAUUGAUUACGUCCCUGCCCUUUGUACACACCGCCCGUCGCUCCUACCGAUUGAAUGAUCCGAUGAAUACCAUGGAUUGAGAGUACGAAUGGGUUCGCUCAUUUCUGCUGCUCGAGAAGCGGAGUAAAUCUUAUCAUUUAGAGGAAGGAGAAGUCGUAACA
rnacentral:rRNA from 1 species